rnacentral:tRNA from 1 species
GCAGUGGUGGUUCAGUGGUAGAAUUCUCGUCUUCCAUGCAUGUAGGAGACCAUGGUUCAAUUCCUGUCCAAUGCA